AGAGUCUGACGGAGCACGCCGCGUGAGUGAUGAAGGCUUUCGGGUCGUAAAACUCUGUUGUUAGGGAAGAACAAGUGCUAGUUGAAUAAGCUAGCACCUUGACGGUACCUAACCAGAAAGCCACGGCUAACUACUUGUUUGCAGCCGUGUUAAUACGUAGGCGGAAGCGUUUCCGGAAAAUUGGAACUAAAAGGGCCAGGUGGUUUUUAAUUCUGAUGUGAAGUCCGGUUCAAUUGGAGGGU
rnacentral:rRNA from 1 species